rnacentral:rRNA from 1 species
CCUCGUGGAAGGGUAGUGUUUAUUAGAUACAGAACCAACCCACCUUCGGGUGGUCCYCAGGUGAUUCAUAGUAACCGAACGGAUCGCAUUAUGGCCUUUUGGUCGGCGAUGGAUCAUUCAAGUUUCUGACCUAUCAGCUUUCGACGGUACUGUAUUGGACUACCGUGGCAGUGACGGGUAACGGGGAAUUAGGGUUCGAUUCCGGAGAGGGAGCCUGAGAAACGGCUACCACAUCUAAGGAAGGCAGCAGGCGCGCAAAUUACCCAAUCCUGACUCAGGGAGGUAGUGACAAGAAAUAACAACACUGGAAAUUAUAUUUCUAGUGAUUGGAAUGAUGGGAAUCCAAACCCCUUUCAGAGUAACAAUUGGAGGGCAAGUCUGGUGCCAGCAGCCGCGGUAAUUCCAGCUCCAAUAGCGUAUAUUAAAGUUGUUGCAGUUAAAAAGCUCGUAGUUGGAUAUCUGCUGGGAGCAGCCAGUCCGCCUUAACGGGUGUGCACUUGGUGAAUUCUGGCAUCCUCCUGAUUGGUGUCAUCAUCACUUCAUUGUGUUGGUGGCAGCUGUCAGGACUGUUACUUUGAGAAAAUUAGAGUGUUUCAAGCAGGCUUGUUGCCUUGAAUACUGCAGCAUGGAAUAACAAGAUAGGAUUUCGGUUCUAUUUUGUUGGUUUCUAGGACUGAAGUAAUGAUUAAUAGGGACAGUUGGGGGCAUUCGUAUUUAACUGUCAGAGGUGAAAUUCUUAGAUUUGUUAAAGACGAACUACUGC